AACUGGGCUCGCGUGAAGGAUGGAAGCGAAAAUCCUUUGUGUUUUUUCUUUAAAAACACAAAGAUUGCAGCGCACAGCCUGACCCGAA
rfam:Flavobacterium sp. FPG59 Contig_386, whole genome shotgun sequence.